UCCAAGGAUGUCCAAGAUCACUGAAGUGUGACUGUAUCUCUUCCUGGCAAUGCGACUUUGCAGAUGUGAUUACAGUGAAGGACUCUGAGAUGAAGAGACUGUCCUGAUUGGAUAAGUGGGCCCAAUCUCUGGUCCCGCUUGGAGGAAGUUUAUGAAAGCUGGUGUGUAUCCUACCCAUACAGCACAGCUGAACUUGAACUAGCCUCAUUUCGAAUGCUCCAUAGCCCCAUGUAGCUAUCACAUUGGACAUUGUCCUUCUAAUCAGUUCUCUGAGAAUAAGGCAUGGCAGCUUAGCACAAGGAUGACGUGUCAUAGUUAAUUUUAUCUGUUACCUUGGCUGGACCAGGAUGCCCAGAUGUUUGGCCACACUUUGUUCUGGAUGUUUCUGUGAUGGUGUUUUGAAUGAGAUUAACAGUUAAAUCAGUGGUCUUUGAGUAAAGCAGGUUAUCUUCCGUAAGGUGAGUGGGCAUCUUCAGUAAGUUGAAGGCUUAAAUAGAACUAAGGCCAACCUCUCCUGGGUUAGGAACUCUGUCAGCUGACUGCCUUUGGACUCAAACUGCAAUUUGAAUCUGAGCUUGCCAGCCCACCCCAUCAGACUUCAGAUUUGCUAACCCUCUACACUUGAAGGAGCCAAUUUCUUCAAAUAAAUCUGUGUAUGUUCGCACAUUUUGUUGGUUCUGUUUUUCCAGAGAACCCUGCUCAAUACAACGUGCAUCUGAGGCCAAGGACAGGUGCACAUCACUCGUGGGAACUGCAAAGAGCCUGGGGUUCUGGAGAACGUCAUCCCCAGGGACAGAGGGUGUGGACUGGGUGUGGGUACAUGGUGUGAGGAGAGGAGAGAGGAAGGGCGGGGAAGAGCAUGCGGGGGAGGGCAGCAGGAUUGGGUUGGAAAGAGGGAGCAUGCCCUGUGUCAAGAAGGUUGGAGAGGCCGGAUGUGCAGUCCUAGAGAGCCACGUCCAUGUGCGUUGAAGCAUUUUGAAUUCUAUCUAUGUUUGGAAGGGAUACCCCAGCAAAAUACCAUAACUGGGUGGUGUAAACACAGAAAUUAAUUUUCCCACAAUUCUGGAGGUUGGAAAUCCAAGAUCAAGGUGCUGGCGGGUUUGGUUUUGUCUGAGGCCUCUGUCCUGGGCUUGCAGAGGGCCACUGCCAUGCUGCUCUGCGCACACCGCCCCCGUGUCCUCCUGUGUACCCACAUCUCCUCUUGUUGUAAGGAUAUGGUCAGACCGGACUGGAGCCUGGCCUAAGGGCCUCAUCUUAUCCUAAUUAUAGUCACAUUCUGAGAUACUGCAGGUUAAGACUUCAACAUCCACAUUUGGAGGGUACAUAAAAUUCACUCUACAGCAGACCCCGAGUGACCCCACCUCAGUCUGUUUUAUAGACUUCCAAUCAAAGAAUUAGCAUUUAGAGCAGAGUGGGUGGUAACACAGUAGGCAGAGAGGGCAUAUGUCUUCCUAAGGAGCAGAAUCUUCUCCGUGCAAAAAUGCGGGCCUGGGUGAGUGUAAGUCACCGUGGCUUCUGGGGUUUCAGGCAAAGCUGCCCUGAUGGUGUCUGCUCCGCGCCUGGCCAGGGUGGAGCAAAGGUUAGUGAGUCCCUCAGCUCAUAAUUACUGUCCCACACCUGCCCAAUUUGAGUCACCUGGGCCUGAGUCCUGGCUACAAGCAGCAGCCCAGCAGGACAUAUUUUUAGGGAAAUGUGAGAAAAUGACCCAACUAUGACACUGACAGGAGAUUAGUUAGGGACCUGUCUUCUGAUUCCUUUUUAUAAUUCAGAAAGCCUCUGACCAUCUCACAUUUGCUGGAGAAAACAUUGCUUACGCAUUCUGAAGUGUAUUCAGUCUCCACAGAAUUAAAAAAAAAAUCUACAAUAUGUUCAAGGAAAUUGGUGAGUCUUUCAGGCAUUGUUGCUCUCUAAAGAUCAUUGCUGUCUGCUCUGUUAAGGGUCAGAGGCAUUUGGAAAUAGAAUGAACCAUUUGUGAGACAGAAGAACACAGCAGUAAUGAACUUCACCGAGAACUUAGGCUUGCACUUCAGAGUGACGGCACAUCGCAUCUUGAAAUAAUGGCUUUCCUUCCCUAGAUGGUGUGCCUCCCCUCUCCUCUCCUCCUCUCAGCAGCCGGAAGGAUUUUACAGGGAAACUGGGGUGCAAGGGACAGCGUUAUAAAGGCGCAAAGAGUUUGAAUCGGGUUUCUUCCACUUGUAACUCUUACCUAUAAAAUGGGUCAACUGUCUUCCUAGUCCAGAGGAAAAUGCAAGGUGCCAAAGGUAAAGGAGAUAGCUGGCAAGGAGUCUUGACUUGGUAAGCAUAAAAUGCUUUUUAACCUGUGUGUGCCCCAGCAAGGGCGAGUAUAUUUUGCACAGGGGAAAGUCUUGGCUGGGAGGAUAGUUGUCAAAGAAGAAAGAUGAAUGUGGGAAGUUUGGGGAUGUGUGUUGAUUGGGGAGAGUGAAGAAAUCAAUAUGGCUGAAAUGCAGAUUUUAAAAUGCAGGUAAUCUAUAGUCAGCCUCAGAUUACACAAAUAAAUCAUUGGCAGGUUUGCGUGGUGUUUUUUAUUAUUGGUCUCUCUUGAUGGUCCCUCCUGCUUAAUUAUUACUCUGUAUGCUUUGGAAAAUUUCUUUGUACAUUUAGUACCAGGCUAUUUCUCAUUUUGAUUUUUAUUUUUUAACCUUUGUAUUCCAAAGUCACCGUUGGACUGUGUUGCAGUAAAGAUUUGUGUGCUGCUUAAAUCAGUUGCUGAACAUCAA